CAUGGCGUGUUCGGAGACACAACAGAGUAUUUCAUUCAUACAGUAUUGCCAAGUCAAGUCAGUAAGUACCUUCAACUUCGGGCUAAACACGAAAUUUCUACGUGGAAAGUUGCACACAGCAAUAAAACACGCAGGAGGAACCGCCGUCAACUGUUGACUAGCAUCGUGUUAGGGUGGAGGCGAUUGGACUCAGGUGGCGAUGACGUCAGGGAUGUCACGUACAGGGCGAUGUCAGCAUGCUAAAGGCUAGUUUUACUAGCAUACGAGCCGAUGACUCGCAGGUAAUUUAUACCUCUACUAUUGUCAAGGCACCGGAACCGACUGUUCAACACUUAUGUCCACUGGUCCCCGGUUGUGUGUGUGUGUGUGUGUGUGUGCGUGCGUGCGUGUGGGUGUUGGCUUAUUCCCUUUCAGCGUCUAACAUGUUUCAUUGUCGCCGUUUUAAUAUGUGGCAACAAUUUCAGAUUAGAAGCAGUUCGACCUCAGUUCAACUUACUUAAGUUCCAUGGCUCGAUUUAGACUGAAGACUGUAGUCAUUCAGGAGUUUAAACAUACGUAUGUUUGCGUAAUUGAGCAUUCAUUUAGCGCAAUCCUGAACCACACCACUAGAGACUGCUGUGAGAAGUCAGACGUCAGUUGACUCCAGUGUUGGUCAAUCUCCUGAAUAUGACUUCAGUUGUGAAAUCUUGGACGAUCGGUUAGAAUUACAUCAGAGCGAAAUUAGGUCAGGAGUGAGAUGAGUUACCAGUCACCUGAAACACAUUUCUUCACGCAGAAAUGAGUAGAAAGUAGUCAAGUCAAGCUCCCACGCGACCUGCCCUCAGUCUGUCACCAGAAGACUUUGUUUCCGACAUCCUCACCUCGCUGUUGAGCUUCAAAUAGGCUUGUGGUCUUGUGUAAAAGGGAAGUGGGCGAAAGCUAAAUGUCACAAUGGCCGCUUCCUCUUUUAGCUACAAUGGUUUAAAUACUUUUCAAGUGUGCUUUAUGAACAGCUGAAGAAUUCAGGGGUCUCCGGUGAAGCCCAUUGUAAUUCAUUGUUCAAGCAAUGUGUUGUUUUUCCAGUCAGUGAUAAUCACUACAAGUGGAUUUGAAAAAGCAUCCAAGAGCUCAAGGGUGAAUUUAAAAGGUCCUGACAUUUGAGUUGGGGCUUCUCCGUGAAUGAGAGGUUUUCACGUGUGUGUGAUGGCCCCUGGCUUGUGUGUGAUAGUUCCUCAUGCGUAUCAGAGACUUAUAUAUGUGAGUGAGUGGUCUUUAAGUGUGAAAACCUCUGCAUGCAUUUGAGGCCCGAAUACAAGAUAUUGUGUCCUUGAAUAUGUGUGGCGUCACAGUAUGGUUUCUUCCGUGUGUGUGUGUGAGAGGUUUUCACGUGUGUAUGUUGGGGCUGUCUCAUAUUUGCCAGAGGUUUUCACACCUUGUUUGUGAGUGGUUUAGUAAGUGUGUUGAUGGAUUUAAAUGUGGCGGCAAAAGGUUUUUGACUUAUCAGUUUGGUCCAGAGCUGUGUGCGCGUGAGGGUUCUCGCAUCGGUGUGAGAGGUGCUCUCUCCCUCCAAACUCAUAUGUGCAUCAGCUAUUUGGGGUUUAUACCCAGGGUUCUCCCCAGCACUUUAGCAGCAUAGGGGGUCCAUACAUUGGGAUUUUCCCUGCGUCGGGGUGAAAUCCCCGCGUUUUCAGCCGUUUUCACAUGAAACGCUACCACCGCCUGUCAAGUAGGACUCCGCCUUUUAAGGUAGACCAUGAAGGAAGACCAUGAAAAAAUGUACAAGGUGCUCCGUCGUCCGUCCAUCCAUCCGUUCCCCUCAAACGCCAACACUCGAAAUAUGAGCAAUGUUUCCCUCAGUGCAUGAGAUGUUCUCAUGUAUGGCUUCAUUCCAUGUAGGGAAUCCCCUCCUCUCAGUCAAGCUUGAUGCCAAGUUCCUUUUGAUGUUCUGAAGGAAAAAAAUGGCAGGACAUCCUCGACAGGAAGCCUCCAAAAAUAACAAGCACCAACAACAAGCCUACAUUAAGUAAAGGGUCUCCACGGCACUCCUCAGCGAGGUGUUUACAGUCUAACUUCCCUGGCUUUUUGGGAAUUCCCUCCUUGGGAGCGGGAAAUUCCCAUUCUUUUAGGAUCCACUCGGGAUUAAAGGCAGAAUUCAUCCCACAUUUGAUGUCUCGGGUGUUAAAGUGACACUCAGACGUGACAUUAAAUGAAACCUUUCUGGGGGGUUAUUUAAAAUGAAGAAGUUCCCAGACGCUCAAACAGGGACUUGUGACCAUUUUGUUCCACUCUUGUGUCGGUGGGCUCAUUUAUGCAUGUGUGAGGAAAUAGAGUCACCUGCGAGUCCUCAAGAAGGUGGCUGCGUGGGUAUGUGAUGUCUAGGGGGAGCCCCUCGUGGGUUCAAGGGUUUACAUUGUUUCUUGAAGCGCUUCUGUCCUGCAUUUACAACUGACUUGACGACUACGCAGUGGUCAGCCACAAAUGUUCCCCAGUACGGAUAAAAUAUGACUCUUAGAUGCAAUGUCAGAUUUUUAAAUGCCAUUUUUUAGACUAGAAACUGAAAUGACAUUAAUGUUCAAUGAGACACUGUUUCAGUCUUUGCUUUAUUGUAUUGAAUCUGCUGCACAGUUGGCAUGACCUUGACAAAUUGCAACUUUGCGUUCCGUUGACUGGUAAAACGAGAGUUUACAGAGUUUACUACUACUUCUACUGAAUGGAGCGAGAGAUGACAUUGUCUCGAGAUGAGGUUACUUCAAUCAGUGCAAGUUAUUUGGCUCACACUAAACUGGCUGUGUCGAGUGUCUUUCAUCAUCAAGUCAUUGGUGCACAUGAAUGUCUUUCAGUUAACAAGCGAGUUAUAGACUUGCAAGGUGCAACGUCAAUGUAAGUCAGUAGUGUUAGU